rnacentral:rRNA from 1 species
UACGGAGGAUGCAAGCGUUAUCCGGAUUUAUUGGGCGUAAAGAGCGUGUAGGCGGCUUUACAGGUCCGUUGUGAAAACUCGAGGCUCAACCUCGAGACGCCGGUGGAAACCGUAAGGCUAGAGUCCGGAAGAGGAGAGUGGAAUUCCUGGUGUAGCGGUGAAAUGCGCAGAUAUCAGGAAGAACACCCGUGGCGAAGGCGGCUCUCUGGGACGGUACUGACGCUGAGACGCGAAAGCGUGGGGAGCGAACAGG